rnacentral:tRNA from 1 species
UCCCAGGUGUCUGAGUGGUAAAGAAUCUGCCUGCCAAGCAGGAGACUCGGGUUCUGCCGAGGUUGGGAA